rnacentral:rRNA from 1 species
GACGAACGCUGGCGGCGUGCUUAACACAUGCAAGUCGAACGGAAAGGCCCUGCUUUUGUGGGGUGCUCGAGUGGCGAACGGGUGAGUAACACGUGAGUAACCUGCCCUUGACUUUGGGAUAACUUCAGGAAACUGGGGCUAAUACCGGAUAGGAGCUCCUGCUGCAUGGUGGGGGUUGGAAAGUUUCGGCGGUUGGGGAUGGACUCGCGGCUUAUCAGCUUGUUGGUGGGGUAGUGGCUUACCAAGGCGUUGACGGGUAGCCGGCCUGAGAGGGUGACCGGCCACAUUGGGACUGAGAUACGGCCCAGACUCCUACGGGAGGCAGCAGUGGGGAAUAUUGAACAAGGGGCGGAAGCCUGAUGCAGCAACGCCGCGUGCGGGAUGACGGCCUUCGGGUUGUAAACCGCUUUCGCCUGUGACGAAGCGUGAGUGACGGUAAUGGGUAAAGAAGCACCGGCUAACUACGUG